GAUUACUCUACAAUCUGUACUUUUCGUCCUAAAUGCAGUCUUGCAAUCAACGUCAGCAAACAAUUAGUCCAGUUCAAUCCAUGGGGCUGCAAACUCUCCAAAAAAUGGACACGUACACUGUCCCGGUUCGCGUGCUGGGAUCACCAAACGUGUUUGAUCUCGCGUAAACUGCACUACUGCACUAAAGAAACUAGAGAAACAAAAAUAUACAGGCAAUCCACUGUGGCAGGCGAGACUCGUUUUGGCGCGUUGCACGGGCGGCUUGCAGCGGAAAAUUCUAAUUGAAUUGAAAGGGGAAUCGAAGGCAAGCAGCUGUAGGAAGGAAGAACUCGCGGAUCGUGGCGGCGUCGCGUCGUUCUUCGUCGACGUUUAGGGAGUAUCGGUGCGCGAUUCAAGGCGAUUCAACCCCCCGCGCGCGCGAUCAUCUCCACCCUCAGCCGCUCUAACUGGUCAAGAAAAGUAAAGCUUGGGAAGCGGAUAUCGCGGGGCUCGAGUCACGUUGUUAUUGGCCGGCGUCGCGACGCCACUCGCCCUCACGGUUGGCCCCGUGGCGAACGCGGGGCGGUACCAUUGGCGCCGUUACCAUGGACACGAUGCUGUUUCGUCAUAGGAUUUCCUAGCCACCGACGCGGUUCUCUCUCACCCUUGUGUUCGCCGGAGCAACCCCCUCGGUGCCGGAUCCGAAAGAGAAAGGGAGGAGGAAACCGUGGAGGUGGAGGUGGAGGAACGAGAUGUUCUGUAUUCGUGGUUCCCCAUGUCGUCGUUGUGCAUUCACAUCCACUCCACGAUAACGGUGUUCACGCGUGUACCUUUGAGCAUUCCCUCCGAGGAUCCGCCGAUCGUCCUUUGUUCCGAAGAUGGCUGGUGGAGAAUUUCAGAUGAAUUUUAAGGUAUUUCUUUACGUUGCAGAGGUUCGAUCGUUUAUUUUCUACGCUAUUGGUCGUAUUUGUUUUUCCUCUCGGCAUGAAAUUUUGUUUUUCGCGGAAUCUAUGGUUGUAUAUGAACGAAGGAACGUGAAGAAAUGUUGUAUUUCGAGUUCUUCUGCUAUAUCGAAGUAGUAUUUCGUUAGCGAAAUUCUAAAUUAGAAGAGCGAAGGUAAUAUGAUGAUAUAGUAGCUUCAUAUUCUUGUUCACGAAAAACUAAUAAAACCUUCUUGAAGAAGGCGAUGCAUUUCGUUUGUCUAUUGUUGUUCGCAUUUCAUCACGUUCUUUCUCUCUCUCUUUUUCUCUCUUUCUCUCCGUCUGUUUUUUAUCUCCUUUUUUACUUCUUUCUCAUAAGUAUUGAUCCUCCGUCUGCGUUGAAGUAUAUAAAAGCUUUUCGCAAGUCAAUACAUCUGUAUCGAAUCUUGAAAGGAUGGAGAAUGCGGAUCAGGAGGAGCAGGCGGAUCAAAAUUAGAUUUACUCGUUGGACGAUGUGUACACGACGCAGGAUGUAGAUACUUACGAUGUAGGUCCAAAAUAGAUAGGUGUUCGUGUAUAUCCGUGUGUAUGAUCCUCUGUAGCUUAGCGUAGGCUCUCGAUCAAUGGAAUUAUUAUGGCAUCACGUCGUAGAUGCUAACGCAAUUUUUACGACGAGACGCCCUAUGCAACCGCUAAUUGCACCUACUGAGAAGAAGAUUUCAUAGUGUUUAACGAAUUCUCAAUCUGCGUCCCUUUCUCCUUUCUAUUUUCCAUACUUGUACUCAUACUUAUACAUUCCUAUCUUCUAUGGGUAUUUAUAUCUUUUCAUAUUUCUAUAGUCUUACAUUCUUACAUACCGUUAUCUUCAUUUUUCCAUACUUCCACAAUUUUACAUUUCUAUUUCCUAUACUUCCUUACACACUGUAUACACAUGUACAUCCAUAUGACAAACUGCGAAUCAUAGCCAAGUUAAAAUUCCAAAAAUUUAUAUCUAUGCACUUUUCCAUCUUUCGAUAGGUAACCAAGAUGUAAUUUCGCUGUCUAUCGUGACGAGGCAUUUUUGUUAACCCAAGGAGACACGUUCAGUGUUUGUAACACCUUGUAAUCCCCACGAAGGAGAAAAACACAGGACCAUCCUUUCCUACCUCCAACGCCGAAAAUAGGUCUCGCCACUAACGAUCAGAUGCAUCAAACGAUGCAUGAUAGUCACAGUCGUUUAGUAUCUAAAUGAUGCCGCGAAGGUUGGCGAUUUCUCGUGUAACAAGUCCCGAGAGGGUGUGUUUAGAGCGCGGCGGUGGACUUUGCCAGCGGUUUCCGGAACAUCAGGGGGAACAGGGGGCUAGUUUCGACAGCGCUAAGCUUGCGGACGGGAUUUUCGGCUUUGCUAUCGACAUCGAGGGCCGGCUACGCCGUAUUGCGGACCGUCGAGGGAUCGACGGAACGGAUGAAUGGACACUCGUCGGUAACACAAUUACCGGGAUGUUAAUUUACCCAAUAAUCGCGGAAGCAACCCCGUCUAAAUGCCGGCACGCGCCACUUCCCCUUCCGCCGUCGCCUAAAUAGAGACAGCCUCGCUCUAAUGUCAGGGAUGGAUACAUCGGCUCAGGUUUUACAGACGAUUGCGUCGUUGCACGUGCGUUUUACCAAACAGCUCCAGCUACGUACAAUGGUCUGUAACUGGUCUCUUUGUGCUGUGUAUCGAACAAGGCAAAUAAAGUUGAGCGACUUUGCAACUGUGGUGACACGAUGGCUAACGUACUUUGAGAAUCCUGAAGCGAUUUUUCGCAGGCUGCGAUGUUUAAUUAUAAUCGACGGAGAAGCUUUGUAUAGAUGGUGUUUAUGUAGGAAUGUAAGAACAUGUAAUACAACGUAGAUACUAGGAACAUAGAAAUAUGUUUGCGUGUAUGUAAUGCAUUGGAGUAACGUAAAGUCUGGUGAUGUGUGUGGGAAUUAAAGAAGAAGCUUAAGGAGUAGGAACAUAGACGUAUGGAAUAAUGGAAAAUGAAGAUAUAAUAAGGUAGAAACGUUAAAAUAUAUAAAUAUAAAGAUGGAAGGAGUAAUAUCUCCUUCUUACUUUGCUGAUUUGUGCGUCACAUCUCGACCAAUAUUCCUAGGAAUUGUUCGUUACCUUUCGUGCCUUUUUGGUCGAUAUGUGAAGUCUCUGUGGAAUAAUGCGAGACAAAACCGAGUUAUAUCUAAUAUAUUCGAUAUAUUCUUGGUGCUAAUAAAAAUCCAGAGCAUUGAGCGCAGUGCAGAUAGUUAAGAGCAGCGUAAACGAACCGCUUGGAGAUUCGUCAGGAUAAAAAUAAUGUACUCGUAAUCGUUCAUCAUCCAGACGGUAAUUACACGCAUAUUUGAAAGUCAAUCAUGACACGUAAGUUUUCGCAAACGGAUGUGUGAAACGAUCGCUUAAUUGUUUCUCGUCUAAUUCUUCCAAAGAACUGUCGAUCUCUUGCAAACGCGAUUUUACC